rnacentral:rRNA from 1 species
AUGACAACGCCACUUGGACACUCACCACUAGUACCUGCUGGGCAUCGAGCCAUCGAGCUCAAGUGGGUGUUCAAGGUGAAGAAGGACGAGCACGGCGCCAUUGUCAAGCACAAGGCGCGCCUCAUCGCAAAGGGCUACGUGCAGCGUGGAGGAGUGGACUUCGAGAAAGUCUUUGCUCUGGUGGCAAGGCUGGAGUCCGUGCGGCUCAUCCUUGCCGUGGCUGCUCACCGCGGGUGGGAGGUACACCACAUGGACGUCAAGUCGGCGUUUCUCAACGGCGACCUUAACGAGGAGGUGUAUGUCUCCCAGCCUCCAGGGUUCGUUGCCAAGAACCACGAGCAAGCCGUGUACAGGCUACACAAGGCCCUGUAUGGUCUCCAGCAAGCCCCAAGGGCGUGGAACACCAAGCUUGAUGCAAGCCUCGCAUCCCUUGGGUUCUCACGCAGCUUUUCUGAGCAUGGUGUGUACUCGCGUGGCAUCGCGAACACGCUGCUCAUCGUCGACAUCUACGUCGACGACCUGGUCAUCGUCGGCAUCUACGUCGACGACCUGGUCAUCGUCGGGCAGAGCCCGAAGAGGUUCGACACUUAA